ACUGUUCCGGACUGCGCUCAGGUUUCUACUGUCGAUCUGCGCCGCGUGGUCUUACUUUGUGCUGAUACAUCGGGGAAAAUUAGAAAACAAUAAUGCAUAUAAUGGAGAUGAAUAUAAUGGGUAUAAUUUAGACAGCCGGAAACUUCUCUUGUUGGUUCCUACCAGAUCAUUUGUGAGAAGCUCAGUGAGAGUCUUUUGAUAUCUGUAAAAGGAAGAAAUGAUAUCUUGGAGUCAUACUGAAAAAUAUCAAUAAAUUUUGUAAAAUAUUAUUGAAAGAAUCUGCCAGUUGAAGUGUCCAUUAAGUUGUUUCCAUCAUUACAACAAACAUGGAAUUAAGUUUUUCAGGUAGAGGGGCUUAGAAGUUCGCAUGGAUUCUAAACAGAGCACGUUCAACACUUUCUGGUUGGUUUAGAAUUAGAGACUCUGGGUAUGGGCUCACACCUGACAACUUUUAAAUCCAGAAGUAACUGUGCUCAGACUGGAUAGCGGACAAGGUUGGUGUAAAUCAAGCCGUGUCACGGUAUGUGCAAUCUGACUUCUAGUUUCCUCACUUCUGGAUUAGAGACAAAGUCUACAACACUGCACAGCAUCAGGGGCAGAAAGUCUGUUUCUGUGGAAUUAUUUCCUUGAAUUAUCUCAUUCUACUUGGAGCAUAACAGUUGGGGUUCCUGCAACUCAGAGUCAGCUUUCGGGGACAGAUACAUUGUUUUCCACCUGAUUUCUUCACCUGAAAGAAAAUAAUGAAAAAGCUGAAAUUUUCUGAUUAUCUUAAGUGAAACUUCAUUAUGUAUCUUGGCAUUUAGAUGUCCUGAAUAAAUGGGAGCUGUUAUUGUUUCCCAAUACUACUCCUCCCACACUGAAGAGC